GGGACCACUGAUCUGGAGGCCGUCUUCUGGGAAAUGAGGGGAUGUCACGCACCCCACAAAGUCUCCGCACCUGUGCUCUUUGCCAGGUUUUGUGGAUGGCUGUUGUCUUGCAGGCGUUGGCUGUAGCAAUGUCAUUCUCCUCCUUACUCUGCUUUGUCUGAGGAUGUGACAUUGCGUGGAAUUAUCCUGCGAUCCUUUUCUGUGGCUCGCUUUCACCGGAGAGGGGCUUCUGGUCUGCGUCAUUUCCAAAGCUUCUUUGAAGACAAA